CGGAUGGCUCGCCUUAAAUGAAUUAGCUGGACUUGUUCUUGAGAACUGGUUUGACUUGGCGUAAUAAGUAUUUCGCUGAGGACAUCUUCGGAUGGCCAACUCUCUCGACGACCGUCUGCUUUCUAACCUUUGUUCUCCUUUGGAGACAUGACUUUUUAUUAUCUGGCCUCAAAUCAGGUAGGACUACCCGCUGAACUUAA
rnacentral:misc_RNA from 1 species